rnacentral:tRNA from 1 species
UAAAUUGAGGCCAAAAGUUUAGGCGCUUAGCUGUUAACUAAGAGAUAGUGGGAUAAAUACUCAUCAAUUUAG